GUGCCAGCCGCCGCGGUAACACGUAGGGUGCAAGCGUUGUCCGGAAUUAUUGGGCGUAAAGGGCUCGUAGGCGGUCCGUCACGUCGGGAGUGAAAACUCGGGGCUCAACCCCGAGCCUGCUUUCGAUACGGGCGGACUAGAGGUAGGUAGGGGAGAACGGAAUUCCUGGUGUAGCGGUGGAAUGCGCAGAUAUCAGGAGGAACACCGGUGGCGAAGGCGGUUCUCUGGGCCUUACCUGACGCUGAGGAGCGAAAGCGUGGGGAGCGAACAGGAUUAGAUACCCCCGUAGUCC
rnacentral:rRNA from 1 species